UUCAUGGAGAGUUUGAUCCUGGCUCAGGACAAACGCUGGCGGCGUGCUUAACACAUGCAAGUCGAACGAUGAAACGGAACGGAAAUUUUCGGAUGGAAGUUCUGUGGAUUAGUGGCGGACGGGUGAGUAAUGCAUGAAGAACCUGCCUUUCACAUAGGAAUAGCCUCGGGAAACCGGGAUUAAUACCAAAUGACACUCCGAGAUCGCAUGUUUUUGGGGUUAAAGAUUUUAUCGGUGAAAGAUGGCUUCAUGUCCCAUUAGCUGGUUGGUGAGGUAACGGCUCACCAAGGCGACGAUGGGUAGCCGGCCUGAGAGGGUGAACGGCCACAUUGGAACUGAGACACGGUCCAAACUCCUACGGGAGGCAGCAGUGGGGA
rnacentral:rRNA from 1 species